UAAAAAGGAGGUGUGACACCGACCAUUCAAAUAAGUCAUAAUACAUCAUACGGAACUACUCAUGCCCUCAAACAACUGGGUAAAUUGCAUAUUCUAAAAACGACCGGUCGGGUCGUUACAACCCCUUACUACCCUUCCCCUUUAUCUUCAAUUCAUUCAUUCAGCAGAAAUGGACUACAAACCAAACUUGGAUUGGCCAAAUAUGGUAUUAAAAGGGUAGAACUUUACCAACAAACCAAACUCAAAUAAUUAAGCUAAUCCAAACAAAAGAAUACCACAUAUAUAUUAAGAACACUUUAACUUGAUGUUAAAUUCAACCACAAAACAUGUGCGUCUCAAACAAAACUAUCCUAAUUGAGUAAACAAUCAACUACAACAAAAAUCUAAUAACCAAGGAAUCUAACGAGUGACUGAUUAUAUCAACAGACCCUAUUAAACAUUAAUUAACCAUAAUGAACAAUAAUCACAUGAGAAACAAACUUUAAACCUUCAAUUUAACUAAACUGACCAGCGAUUUUGUUGAAAAAUGCUGAAACUUCAGUUAAUUAGCACGACGAAUUAAACGUUAAAUAAUAGAAACUACAAUUGAAGCUAAAAUUUACAAACUUGAAUCUAAAACUAACUUCAAACACCACUAUCAAGACUUAUGAAGUAGGAAUUCGAACAACACAAUAAUUUGAAAUCAACGAGCGACGACUAAUCAUUACUAACUCUAAACUAACUAACAACUCACUAAAGAUAAAUAAAACACAUGAACGAACAAAGAAGAAAAAUAAAAAAUUUAGACCUAAGCAAACUACAAUGAAACAGAAAGAAAAAGAAAAAGAAAGGGACAUAAGAGAUUAGGGUGCACCAGAAACCCGGGUGUUCGAGACAGUGGUGGUGCGGCAGUGGUGGCGAUUCGAGCAGUGAUGGAUACAAUUUUGACAUCGUAUGUCCUCUUCUUGUUGUUGGACCAUCACUAUCAACUCCAAUCAAACUGAAGUCCAUUAAUGAGCUCAUCAACAAGAAAGGCUCGUUCGACCCAAAGUAGAAGUGACCGGCAACCUGCCAAAAUUUAGCCACUGGAGUUUCAACUUCAAACCAAAGAACGGUAUAUUAGGGGAAGAAAUACACACUCAUGUAGGUAUUAAGUAGUGGUGAGCUCUCAAACUCGACGAAUUGAGGAGAAAUAGGCAGCUAGAGUUUUAGAUUUUUGAAGAUUCAUGGAGAUUGAGAUGGAGUUUGAGGAUUUGGGGUUCAGAUACGAGUAAAGGAUGAAGAGACGGGGAAAGGGUGAAAUUUUGGUGGUGUUUGGAGCACCAACCAGUGGCGGUGCACAGGGGUGGCAGUGGAGGCGGCGACGACUUAAGAAAGGGGUUGGAGAGAGAGGAGAGAUGGAAAGUGAGAGGAGGAAAAUAGAUAAUAGGGCAAA
rnacentral:lncRNA from 1 species